rnacentral:rRNA from 1 species
GUGAGGCGGAGCAAACACAAACACAGUCUCAGUUCAGAUUGUAGGCUGAAACUCGCCUAUAUGAAGUCGGAAUUGCUAGUAAUCGCGGAUCAGCAUGCCGCGGUGAAUACGUUCCCGGGCCUUGUACACACCGCCCGUCACACCAUGAGAGUCGAUAACACCCGAAGCCUGUAGUCUAACAGCAAUGAGGACGCAGUCGAAGGUGGGAUUGAUAAUUAGGGUGAAGUCGUAACAAGGUAAC